rnacentral:rRNA from 1 species
GUGCCAGCAGCCGCGGUAAGACGGAGGAUGCAAGCGUUAUCCGGAAUGAUUGGGCGUAAAGCGUCUGUAGGUGGUUUAUUAAGUCUGCUGUUAAAGCACAGGGCUCAACCCUGUAGAGGCGGUAGAAACUGGUAGGCUUGAGUAUGGUAGGGGUAGAGGGAAUUCCCGAUGUAGUGGUGAAAUGCGUUGAUAUCGGGAAGAACACCAAAGGCGAAAGCACUCUGCUGGGCCAAUACUGACACUGAGAGACGAAAGCUAGGGGAGCAAAUGGGAUUAGAUACCCCAGUAGUCC